rnacentral:lncRNA from 1 species
AACUUGUUUGUUUGUGUCAAAUUCAUCAAAACCAAAAUCCCCAUUUUACUUUCUUGUUUCAAAGUGUUAAAUUUCAGUUUUGUUUGUGUAAUUUGAGUGUUUUGAUUCAAACCAAAACACUAAAUUCGUCCAAAAUUGUGUUAGAGUCAAAUCUGCCCAGUUUGUGUUUUUAGGCAGUUUCGAGUCUUUAGAAUCUGUUUUGAGUCCCUUGAGUCUAUUAAAACGGUUUUAACUUUCUUUUUAUGUUUUUGAGUAAGUUUAUAGGUUUUAGCAAGCCCUCCUAAUCCCCGGUUUAGAAUGAUCCCUACUUGCAUUUAUACUACAAUUUGACAACAAGAGGGUUUAAUUUGUGUGUUAAGUUAAUUUUCGCAUCAACGGUAUAUGCGAGGAUUUGAUGGAAUAUUCUUGACGGCGUUAACUGACGCCGUCAGCAUGCCUGGCAUGUGCUCGCGCGUGGGCGGCGGGUGUUGUCGUGCCUUGGCUGGCACAUGGGUGGUCCAAAAAUUAUUCUAAAAAUUUGGGGAUGAUCCUGAGGUUGUGUAGGUCACUAUGGUAUAUUCAUAUACGCAAUUUGAGCUAUGUAUGAGAAGUUAUUAGCUAGUUUUGUUUAUGUGCUUUAAAUAACGUUUUUAUAGUUAAUUUGCAUAUAGGUGAGACUUAUCCCGAGGACGAGCAUGUUCAAGGGCAACUCAGGGGCUACGACCCUUCGACAUACCAGUGAGUGGGCUUUUAGUUUUUAGUAUAUAUUUAUAUACUUGAUAUUUUCCCAGAAAUAUGUGUUUAAAUGAAAGUAUGCCUUAAAUGCCAUGCAUAUGAAUUUAUCUUUCGUAUAUGAAUUGGUAUAUGAUGCAUUAUAUAUAUAAUUGUGGUGUUGUGGACGCUCAGGUAAGCUCAGGUGAGUUAUGUUUGGUUAUGUGAAUUAUCAAUGGUGCGAUAUGUGAUUAAAUAAUGUUGAGCUCAUAGAACUGCACCUAGGGUGAUUGUGAUUUAGCCAGAGAUAUGGCACAAGCCUGUUUAUUAUGUCACCUCAUGCACCAUAUGCUCACAUUGGAUCCAAUUUAAGUGCACAGUCCUGUCGUAUAGAACAUCUUAGGUGGUUCCGACUCGUAGGUGACUAGCGAUUUAUCACCCAACUAUUAUGUGUGAGUAGUAUUGAGCAUGAUUAUAUUACACCCAUUAUUGUCGUACAGACCUUUUCAUUUUGUUCCGACUCUUGUGCAGUAUAAUGUCGUAUAGGUCAUUGUAGUGACUCCGGCUAGAUUGACUUUUGAGCUAUGAAUUCAGCCGUACAGACUACCACAGGGGUUACGGCUAACAUGUUAUAUUUAUAUGAAAUUAUUCUCACCUGAAUUGCUUACUUUUUUAUAUCUUGGCAUGGCAUACAUAUGAAUAUGAUAUUGUGAAGCAUGAUUUCAAUUAAUAUAUUUACAUAUAUAUUUAUGUAUAUGCUUAUCUUCUGAUUUUGGGAAAAAUUAGACAUGUUUUACAGCGAGGGGUUAGAAAUGUUGAUAAAUGAAAUGGUUUGGUAAAACAUUUGUUUUUGCCCACUCACGUUUUCUAUUUUGUGCCCCUCCAGGUUUUAGGUAAGCUUGCUGUCAGUGGCCUUGAGGAUUCCGGUGGUUCUGACCUAUCAAAAUAAUUGUAGGACAUCUUAUGGUACUGUAUAAUUAGUACUUGUCCUACUGGACUGCACCUAGACUUUCUAUGCUCUGAUGAGGAGUAUUUACUUUUGUAUCUUACUCCUAACACUUCUCGCUUUCUAGUGCUCUCUAGUACUUUUAGUUUUUAAUUAUUCGUAUACUUCUUAUCCUUAAUUAUUCAUAUACUUCUUAUCGCUUUCUAGUGCAC